GCACCGUAGAUCUCUACUAAGAAAACAUGAAUUUGGAAAUCUGAGGUUUUUAUGAGCAGUGUUUUUGUUUGUUUCCAAUAAAAAGUCCACUUAUUUAGACUUAUGAUUCCUGGUCGAUCUGUAAACGUCUGAAUCACAAUUUAUCUUGUCUGCUAGUAGAUUUUCCAUCUCUGAGACAUUUUUUUUUUCCUCCACAUUGUUUGUGACACAAUCAGUGUCAUCUUCCUGGAGUCAAAAAGUCAUAUAAAAUCUAACACAGAGGCUUCAUCAUAAUUUAGAGACAAUGCAUCAGUUGUCUUUAAUGUAGUCUAUCAGUGACAACUCGUUAAGUGCAUCACACAUCGUUGGUGUAUGAUGCUUGUAAAAACAACAACAAAAAAAGCACAUCCUGUUUUCAACUAAACAACCCAAACCAGGAACAUCUGGAAAGCAUUCUACAUUUCAAGAUGUUUUUCUGUUUUUUCUUCAUUUUUUUUUUCAGUGAUCCUUUUCAUUAUUAAUGAGCUUGAACUCAUGUUGUUGCAAGGAAAUGCACAGUGAUUUCAUUUUAACACAGCCAUGUUAAGUUCAGAACCUGGAGAGGUUAAACACUUGAGUUAGCCAUAAACGAUUAAGCCCUAAAACAGUGUUGUAGUGGUCAUUAUUUAAUUGCGGGUGAAAUGGGUAUAAUUGUGGGAAAUGUAUUUGUCUCUGAUGAGCACAGCACUUUAUCAACCAAAACUUGAAGACCUGCAAAGAAGUUUCUUUAGAAAAACAAACAAACAAAAAAAAAACUAAGAUGAAUUUGUUUCCACGGAUAAAUGAUCACAAUGUUCUUCUAGAGCUGCUGCCACAAUGUGUCACAUUUUGUCAUAUGACGUAUUAUUUAUGAAAAAAUUAAAGGAAGCGCUACACAGUCUAGCUUUCAGGUAAUGUCUUACGUAUGCACGAUGCUUUUAAUGAUGGCUCCAUUCUAAAUAGUCACUUCAGGAUAUAAUGAGAUCAGUGGUGUGGAGUUCACAGUAUUCGCCUGUGUCAUAACCAGGCAUGUAAACCUUUCUGUGACGACCAUGUCUCACUUUAUUGUUUUUCUGUUUCUAUAUUGCAACAGAUACAAUCCCUGACCAUCUAUGGUUACCCCCAAAUGAGCAGAUAAUUAUUAAUCAUAUUAAUUAGGUAGCCAGGGCCACCAUAGGUUUCAUCUUUAAACAACUUUCCCAGGUGAGUAAAAGAUCUGGAUAGGACACCGAGAGAUUAAUCUAUCCAGAGCCGUUAUUGUGUCUGUCCUGCAAUAUUUAAGUUGCAGUUGCAAUUUUUUUGGGCUGAAUUUUGGAAAAAGAAUACUCUGAUAAGCUUUUUGCGGUAAUACAAUUAUGCAUACUCUUGUGUAGAAUGAGUAGCUGGGCAAAGCAGGAGCUUAAUUUCCCAGGGCAUCGUGUCUUCCAAUAACAAUGAAGACAUUUGGUGUCACAAAGAUGUUACUAUCAAGAAACUGAUCAAAACAACUACGUCUGCAACACUUUGUUUUAUUUACUGAGGCUAAUUUCCAUUAGCACACUCUUAUGUGAGUACUUACAGUUGAUGGGGGGGAAAAAAUUGAUGAAGCUGCAACUAAUCAUCAUCAGAAGUGAAUUAAAACCUUUGCAUUUACAUUCUAAUGUGGAAAUAAUUGUGGCUUACAGAUAAUGAAAACUCAAAAGUCAUUGUUUUGGAAUAUAAUUAGUCAAUAUAUGAGUUUCACUCUGAAAUAAGUGACAAAAGCAUUAAACUUCAAAUUCAAGUUUUCUUUUAGAUGUACCUGUAUUUUAUGUUUUCGAAUAACCAACACUGUGUUUGCACCACUCAGCUGCUGCUCCCUCUUUUGCCUGUUACAAAAUCAUUAGGGAGGAUUUUAGCGUUUCCAUUCUGCUUUUCCAUUUUGGCUGAGCUUGUAUGACACAGCGUAAUGCGCUGCCGAGAACAUCCACCUUGAAACUGAAAUCCUUAGAAAGGACGGUUAAAAACGCGCUUCAUGCAUAACAAGCCGGAACCAAUCCUGUCAACUUGCAGAGGCUGGCUGGUGAGAGCUGGAACAAGGUCUAUCAUUAGCAACACAUGAUUAGCUGCUUAAUAAUGUAGCCAUGCUGAAAUUCACAUUAUGCAUUAUUUUUUGUCUUUCUCCUCUCACAUAGGAUGACACAUAAAAUGCUAUCCAUCUAUCAGUCAGUUCUCUUCUCCUGGCCUAUUAACUAUAUAUAUAUAUAUAUUAAUUUCCUCUUACAUUUUGAUCUUGAUUUAAUAGUUGUUGUUGUUUUUUUUUGUUUAUUUGUGUGUUUGUUUUUUUUAAAUAGGUAUUUUAGUGAGUGUGUAGAAGCAUUUAACAUAUCUGCUGUCUUACUUUGAAGAGUCAGAGAGAAGUUGUCAAGAAAGAAAAAAAGAAAGCAAACCACUUUUUAUGUAAAACAGCUCAAUCUUACCAGGGUGAUUAAAAUUGAAUUUUGAAUGUUAUCAUCGUCGAAUCAACCAAUUUACGUCAUCGCUCAUUUUCUCUGUCGGGCAUUUGGUUUUAAUUACUGGGUUAACAAUCGCUGGUUUGUGUCUCUGCUGGAUCUUUAAGCAGUAGAAGUUGGCUUGCAUAGAAAUCCAUCCAUGUACUUACAACCCAGAAGACACUGACUUGAGUCUUUAGAUGAAAGUGGAUGAAAUCUAUGCCAUGAGUGGCAUAAUGGAAAAAAAAAUGUACAUUUUCAAUUUUUAUCACGUUUCUGGUCUGCUAGUGUUCAUUAGCCAGAACAUUAACCAUUGAUCUGGCAGCAGACUGAUAGAAAAAUGUGCUUCAGGUGAAUGAAAUUCAUUCACCUCGAUUCCCGACUGAGAACGUUUGCCAGAUCCUCUAGAAUAAAUUCUACUUUGCCUCUGCAGUCUGCAGGCAAGAUACUCACUGCACACAUAUACAUUAUCCACAAACCCACUUAUAAAUGGCUUUUUAUGUUUUCUAAUACUUUUCUUGUGGUUAUGACUCAGAAAAAAACAAGGAUCACUCUGUGAUGAGAGCACAUAUCUCGGCAGGUUUGGUUUAAGAGGUUGGCAGAAGAUGUAAGAGACAACGUUAUACAAACCAGAGGUGCAGAGAGGGGCAGUAAUUGAAAUGGGGAUGUCAUUCAUCAGGUUUCAUAGAGGUGGCACAAACUGAGGUGUGGUGCACGUUUGUUAGUUUGUGUGAGAGGGAAUAAGCAUGUGUGUGUGUGUGUGUGUGUGUGUGUGUGUGUGUGUGUGUGUUACCUGUCAGCCGACUAAACAAAAGGACUGUGGCAGAUCAUUUUCUUCCUGCAGAGAGGUGGAAGAAACAAAAAAGAGCACUCAUUUAUUUUGUCAUUUUCUAUUCUCCCCUUUGGAUACCAGAAAAUCACCUUCAAUUUCCAUUUAUUUAGACAAACAAUCGACUGCAGCAGCAUCAAGCAAACCUUUUUUUUCUUAUUAUGUUUUUUGUGGGUCCAGCAGUGCUCCUUACAGACAUUUUCCUUCAUCAUAUACAAACAAAAUUCUAGACAUUUUAAGUCCUGACAGGUAGAAGAUGUAAGAAGGGGUACAAUUUUCUGCAGUACCUGCUCUAUAACCUAAUAUUUACAAGACUUAAACAAAAAAACAAGGACUUUGAUCUCAGCAACACUCAAAAAUGUUGAAGGUUUCUUCUUACAGAUUUUCUCAUUUGCUUUGGUGCAUUUCUCAAAUCAUCCGUGACAUUUGGAAAACAGUAUUUCUCAUACAAAAGCAUUUAGAAUUUGUUCACAAAAAUGAUAAAUUCAUCUUCUGAUCACACGAUAAUUUCAAGAUUAAACAACCAUGUUAGAGAAAUUCAAUUCCGUUCUAAGAAAUGCACCAGAGUGGCUCAGAGAAAAAAAAAAAAACUGUGUCAUGAAAUAUUGCACAAGCCACUCAUACUUCAUUUGACAUGAGGUAUGAAAGUCAUACUUCAUACAUCACCUGCUCCUUCACAUGUGAACUCAUGCAGGCCAGAGUUUUGUGAUGGCAAAGAUCCAGUGAGCUAUCAAGUUCUGAUUUAUUAGGUGGCAUUGAACUGUAUGUGGAAAUACGAAACGUCAGGCCUUCCAAGUAAAUCUUUAUUGUUUACGUCACUCCGAAAUGCUGAAAAUACUGGAGCCUGUCAAGCAGCGACGUCCCAAAGGCUUAGACACAAAAAUAUGAUUCACUUGCAUUGCUAUUAAAUAUUACAUACAUGUUUGGGGGUUUUUUACCUUUACUGUAUAUCCAUAUUUUUCAAUGUGCAGUUGACAUUUAAUUCUAAAUAUUGAAAUAUAUUCUUAAUAUAACGCACAUCAAACAGUAACAAAAAUAUUUUUAAGCUGUUGCGAGGUAAGAGAUGGCGUACAUCCUGUGAAAAGAUGGAUGCGCCGGUCUGUAAUUACAUAACGAAAUGGUACGUUUAUGAGUUGUGACACCCAGUACGAAGAACACGGAAACGCAUCUCGGAGAGUCCUGACAUUUAAACUGUAGACCUUUUUGUUGGGAGGCAUCCAACUACGCCCACAGAAAAUGACUUUUUUUUUUUUUUUUUUUUUUUUUUCUCUUCAAAAUUUGUCACGUCGUUUCGCUCCUGAUUAGAUCGAGAGGCCUCAAUCAUUCCCACAGCCUGCAAGCAAGAGGGAAAUAAAGGCAAAUUAAGUGUAUUAAAACGAGAUACAGCAAAGUAAUUGCAACUGCGCUUUGUCAGUUGGCAACAACUACAGUCUGUUUUCAGUGAGAAAAUGUUGCAAAGGUAAUCCCAAAAUGAAUUCCUAAUAUGCAAAUGAGGCCCCAAAAUGCUUCUGGUUUGUGGCUUUUAUAGCUUUCAUAGCACAUCUGAGCUGUAGAUUUAUUUUCAAAGUUUACUGAUAAACACAUUUUUUUUAUUGAAUAGAAUAUUACGCAUCUUAUUAAAACAAAACACUUGAUUUAAGUAUUUAACAACAGGCUUCGUAACAUUCUUCAUCUUCAUGGAUUACAGAUUUAUAGCAUUUAAUUAUAACUUGAUGCUCAGAUUUUAUGUGGCCACUUUUCCUUAUGUAAAUCAAACUUGUGUAAACACAAUUUUCUUUAUUUUCUACUAAAAACGAUAGAAAAAGAAAUUACUCAUUUGAAACUGGCGUCUUCCUGAAAAUCCCGGUGAGGCAGAUGGGACAUAAAAGCUCAGUUCCAAAUGCAUUAUAAUCUAAAUGUCAUGUUCAGUGAUUGUAAAAGGUUUUAAGAGGGAAAUGUGUGUUUUUGAUGUGCAAUUUAUGAGCACAAACAGAAACACAGUGUAGUGUAGGCACCCCAGGACACUGGAUGGACGGUAUGCUGAAAGGUUUUUAUUUUUACCUUUAUGCCUCAGUCUUUGUCACACACUGACUUUUAUGCCUUCUUGCCAGAGAAAGACUUCCUGUGAAACAAUUGCAUUUUUUGAUUCCUUAAUAAUCAUAAAGUGAUUGCUAAAGCACAAUAUCAUUCACAUAAAGUAAAACGAAACGAACCUGAGUACGAGUUUCGCUAAAUACAGUAGUUCUAAUACUUGGGUAAGGAACAGAUUUUAUUGUCAAACUGAUAUGCAAAGCUGUUAAGUUGUCAUCCAAAUGAUAUCAGAGACUGUCAUAUGAAUCAUUUUUUUUUUUUUUUUUUUUUUUUUUUGCAUGUGAUCCAUUCUCUCUCAGGACACUUUUGGCAGUGUGAUAUUAGCCUGAGGAAGCCUGUCCUCGCUGACACGAACAACUGUGUCCCCCAGUAGCAUCUGUUCCCACCUACAGCCACGUGUCCUGCUUUUUUUUGUGCGUGUGUCCUUGAGCUAUAAAGCAAAGCGGUGAUGCCUGCUCCAGUUUUCUGUGGGUAAAAAUCUCAGCCAGACGGCUAAACUUUUAGAAGCUUUUGAGAGAGAGAUUGAGAGAGAGAGAGAGAGAGAGAGAGAGAGAGAGGGAGAGAGAGAGAGAGAGAGAGA